rnacentral:rRNA from 1 species
UACAGAGGGGGCAAGCGUUGUUCGGAAUUACUGGGCGUAAAGGGCGCGUAGGCGGCCUGUUAAGUCGAACGUGAAAUCCCCGGGCUCAACCCGGGAACUGCGUCCGAUACUGGCAGGCUUGAAUUCGGGAGAGGGAUGCGGAAUUCCAGGUGUAGCGGUGAAAUGCGUAGAUAUCUGGAGGAACACCGGUGGCGAAGGCGGCAUCCUGGACUGGUAUUGACGCUGAGGCGCGAAAGCUAGGGGAGCAAACGGG